AUAUCAAUAAGCGGAGGAAAAGAAACCAACAGGGAUUGCCCCAGUAACGGCGAGUGAAGCGGCAACAGCUCAAAUUUGAAAUCUGGCUCUCGGGCCCGAGUUGUAAUUUGUAGAGGAUGCUUUUGGUGAGGUGCCUUCCGAGUUCCCUGGAACGGGACGCCAUAGAGGGUGAGAGCCCCGUCUGGUUGGACACCGAUCCUCUGUAAAGCUCCUUCGACGAGUCGAGUAGUUUGGGAAUGCUGCUCUAAAUGGGAGGUAUAUGUCUUCUAAAGCUAAAUACCGGCCAGAGACCGAUAGCGCACAAGUAGAGUGAUCGAAAGAUGAAAAGAACUUUGAAAAGAGAGUUAAACAGUACGUGAAAUUGUUGAAAGGGAAGCGCUUGUGACCAGACUUGGGCUUGGUUGAUCAUCCGGGGUUCUCCCCGGUGCACUCUUCCGGCCCAGGCCAGCAUCAGUUCGCCCUGGGGGACAAAGGCUUCGGGAAUGUGGCUCUCUCCGGGGAGUGUUAUAGCCCGUUGCGUAAUACCCUGUGGCGGACUGAGGUUCGCGCAUUCGCAAGGAUGCUGGCGUAAUGGUCAUCAGUGAC
rnacentral:rRNA from 2 species